rnacentral:rRNA from 1 species
UACAGAGGUCUCAAGCGUUGUUCGGAUUCAUUGGGCGUAAAGGGUGCGUAGGCGGCGCGGUAAGUCGGGUGUGAAAUCUCGGGGCUUAACUCCGAAACUGCAUUCGAUACUGCCGUGCUUGAGGACUGGAGAGGAGACUGGAAUUCUCGGUGUAGCGGUGAAAUGCGUAGAUAUCGAGAGGAACACCUGCGGCGAAGGCGGGUUGCUGGGCUGACACUGACGCUGAAGUGCGAAAGCUAGGGGAGCGAACGGG